UAGGGAAUCUUCCGCAAUGGGCGAAAGCCUGACGGAACAACGCCGCGUGAGUGAUGAAGGUCUUCGGAUCGUAAAACUCUGUUAUUAGGGAAGAACAAAUGUGUAAGUAACUAUGCACGUCUUGACGGUACCUAAUCAGAAAGCCACGGCUAACUACGUGCCAGCAGCCGCGGUAAUACGUAGGUGGCAAGCGUCAUCCGGAAUUAUUGGGCGUAAAGCGCGCGUAGGCGGUUUUUUAAGUCUGAUGUGAAAGCCCACGGCUCAACCGUGGGGGGUCAUUGGAAACUGGAAAACUUGAGUGCAGAAGAGGAAAGUGGAAUUCCAUGUGUAGCAGUGAAAUGCGCAGAGAUAUGGAGGAACACCAGUGGCGAAGGCGACUUUCUGGUCUGUAACUGACGCUGUUGUGCGAAAGCGUGGGGAUCAAACAGG
rnacentral:rRNA from 1 species